rnacentral:lncRNA from 1 species
CAAGUUUUCAUCCAUUGGUGGUUCCACUUCCAUCAAGCCAUUUCCAGAACCAUGAAGAGUCUCGGUUUGGUUCUAGCUCUCAUGGUAGCCGCGGCCGCCAUGUCGGUUGAAACUGCUCCUUCUGCAACGCUGACCACCCCUAAACCGGCGCCGUACACCCUUGAAUACUCCCAGAACCUGAAGGAAGUUCGUAAGUGCUAUGAUCUCCAUCAUCCCUUAGUUACGUGCUUACGGACGUGAUCUCCAUGAAUUUGCUCGCUAUUCAAGAUAGCUAAACGCUCUCUCUCUCUCUCUCUCUCUCUCCUGUUUCGAUUGUUUUUUUUCUGGUGAACAGCAUGUCCUGCUCCUUGCGACAAGAAGUGCUGUGGCUGCAUCUACUAUCGGUCGACCAUGCCCGAGUGCAUCUUCUGUCACGACAAAUGCCCAGGUGCUUGAUGCAAAAGAUGGAAGACCGUUGCUCAGAUGUUAUCAGAGAGAAUCGCUACCAACCUUAUCUUGACUUGUUCUUGAUAAUAACAGUCUUCUCUCAAAUAAAAACUUAUCCGUUGGCAUGUUCUUGUCCAUGCUGUUUGGUAGUCUACUGUUCUUCUCAGAAGAAUGGAAGCCAUCUAUGAAAGCCAAGGGUGGAAACAUAUGCUAUAUGUUCGAUAUUCCUAUGCAAACAUCUUC